rnacentral:rRNA from 1 species
CCUACGGGAGGCUGCAGUGGGGAAUAUUGCACAAUGGGGGAAACCCUGAUGCAGCGACGCCGCGUGAGCGAUGAAGUAUCUCGGUAUGUAAAGCUCUAUCAGCAGGGAAGAAGAUGACGGUACCUGACUAAGAAGCCCCGGCUAACUACGUGCCAGCAGCCGCGGUAAUACGUAGGGGGCAAGCGUUAUCCGGAUUUACUGGGUGUAAAGGGAGCGUAGACGGCGAUGCAAGCCAGAUGGGAAAGCUCGGGGCUCAACCCCGGGACUGCAUUUGGAACUGUGUGGCUGGAGUGUCGGAGAGGCAGGCGGAAUGCGUAGUGUAGCGGUGAAAUGCGUAGAUAUUAGGAGGAACACCAGUGGCGAAGGCAGCCUGCUGGACGAUGACUGACGUUGAGGCUCGAAAGCGUGGGGAGCAAACAGGAUUAGAUACCCCUGUAGUC